rnacentral:rRNA from 1 species
GACGACCGGCGCACGGCGUGAGUAACACGUAUCCAACCUACCCCUUAUACGGGGAUAGCCUUUCGAAAGAAAGAUUAAUACCCCAUAGUAUAGCGAUAAGGCAUCUUAUUGCUAUUAAAGAAUUUCGGUGUUUGAUGGGGAUGCGUUCCAUUAGAUUGUUGGUGAGGUAACGGCUCACCAAGUCUUCGAUGGAUAGGGGUUCUGAGAGGAAGGUCCCCCACAUUGGAACUGAGACACGGUCCAAACUCCUACGGGAGGCAGCAGUGAGGAAUAUUGGUCAAUGGACGAGAGUCUGAACCAGCCAAGUAGCGUGAAGGAUGAAGGCCCUAUGGGUCGUAAACUUCUUUUAUAGGGGAAUAAAGUGCGGAACGUGUUCCGUUUUGUAUGUACCCUACGAAUAAGGAUCGGCUAACUCCGUGCCAGCAGCCGCGGUAAUACGGAGGAUCCGAGCGUUAUCCGGAUUUAUUGGGUUUAAAGGGAGCGUAGGUGGACGUAUAAGUCAGUUGUGGAAGUUUGCGGCUCAACCGUAAAAUUGCAGUUGAUACUGUAUGUCUUGAGUGUACAAGAGGUGGGCGGAAUUCGUGGUGUAGCGGUGAAAUGCUUAGAUAUCACGAAGAACUCCGAUUG